CCUACGGGUGGCAGCAGUGCGGAAUAUUGGUCAAUGGACGCAAGUCUGAACCAGCCAUGCCGCGUGCAGGAAGACGGCUCUAUGAGUGGUAAACUGCUGUUGUACGAGGGUAAACGCAGAUACGCGUAUCUGUCUGAAAGUAUCGUACGGAUAAGGAUCGGCUAACUCCGUGCCAGGAGCCGCGGUAAUACGGAGGGUUCAAGCGUUAUACGGAUUUAUUGGGUUUAAAGGGUGCGUAGGCGGUCGGAUAAGUUAGAGGUGACGUCCCGAGGCUCAACUUCGGAAUUUCCUCUGAUGCUUUUCGGCUAGAGAGUAGUUGCGGUAGGCGGACUGUAUGGUGUAGCGGU
rnacentral:rRNA from 1 species